AGGACCAAUAUACAAAGGAAGAUGUGGACCAACUCUCCGGCCGGCAGCCGGCAGCAGGGAAUCACGGGUUCUGCAUAAGGAAGGCUCCAGUUCGCCCGUUUAGCCAGUGGACACUUGAGAGAUGUAGAUCGUUUGUUCCUUUACCAGAGUUUUGGGGAUACCUGUUGUAUGAGCGAAUCAGUCCUCUGGAAGCGGAGAUACCACAGUAGGGACAGCACUGUAGGUAUGAGCCGGUGAGAAGGCUGCUGCGUCCAGUCAGGAAGAUGCUCUGUGCACGAAGCCUAAGGUUGCACGGCAGACUUAGCCGCUGCCUCCCACAGCUAACCUGCAGAGACUCUGCAGGCAGGCAAAGUCCGCAGAUCUUUUUCAGAUCGCUGCUGCAAACAAGGUUUUCUUUGAAGCCGUCUACUGAGCUUACCGGACUUUACAUGUGCUUUGCUAACACAUCGUCUGGUUGGCUCUGGCAUGACUGUGGCCACCAUUCUGCGUGGUGUUCUUUGAGUGUUCUGCUGUUUAUUCACUCUGCUGCCUCUCCUCCCAGCUUCGGAUCAUUUAAUGAGAGAUCUAGCUCCCCUCUGACACUGAGCUGUUAGUCAGUUCUCUUUGGGAACAAUUACUUGCCUGACAGCAAAUCCACCUUCAAUUGUGCCAUCAUGGAGCUCAUGUUUCAUGAUCAAAUCCACAAGGGUAUCUGGCAGACUGACAAGUGCCGCUCUGAAGACACAGCAGGUCAGGCAUGAUCUGGUCUAUCAAGACUGCCCCUGUCCUGCCCCAAAAGAAAAGGGAGGCAAGAAAGAAGAAAGGAAGGAAGGGACAAUGGGAAAGGAAAAAGAAAUGGGCUGAAUUUUGCAUAAAAUGCUUUUUGUAUGGAC